rnacentral:rRNA from 1 species
GAUGAACGCUGGCGGUAUGCUUCCCACAUUCACGUCGAACUGUUUCUUCGGACAUAUUUUCUUACGUUUUAUUAACGCGUGCGAAUCUAACUAUUGGUUCUUUACCACCACUGGAAACGGUGGCUAAUACCGGAUAAGCUGACAAGUGAAAGAUUAAUUGCCAAUUGAAGAGCUCUCGUCUGAUUAGCUAGUUGGUGGGGUAAGAGCCUACCAAGGCGUCGAUCAGUAGCUGGUCUGAGAGGACGAGCAGCCACACUGGGACUGAGACACGGCCCAGACUCAUACGGGAGGCAGCAGUGGGGAAUAUUCCGCAAUGGGAGAAAGCCUGACGGAGCAAUACAGCGUGAGGGAGGAAGGCGCUUGGGUUGUAAACCUCUUUUCUUUGGGAAGAUAAUGACGGUACCAGAGGAAUAAGCAUAGGAUAAAUCCGUG